UUGCCACGGUAUGCUUCUUCACCAGGCUGGUCGUCAGACUCCAUGUUUUCCAUCUCAAUGCCGUCAUCGACUUCAAUGCCAUCCUCCCCGUGAGAAGUCCACCUUGAGUAACCAGACACAAAUCCCCACAUGAGCAAGUGCAUCUCGACAUCCUCUGGCUCGUACAGCUUUUCUGACAUCUCACACAGGGACAACACAUCUUAUCACCCCCUUUCCUAUGCAUAUCUCCCAUGCCGGCAUCGACAAAAGUCUUCAGCCGUUCUAUCCACUCAACACGUAACCUGUCCUCGUACAUCCAAGCACGGCCCAUCGAGCUACAACACAAUUAAAAAAAAUAAACGAAUCAGCUUGAUCGACAAAAAUAGAAAAUUUCGGCAUGACCUUUGCUAAAAGAAUAGCAUUUUGCACUACGAAAUUCGAUGCCUGCAUCAAAAACAAAUUACCCCCACCC
rnacentral:lncRNA from 1 species